rnacentral:tmRNA from 1 species
GGGGGUGAAUGGUCUCGACUCCGGACGUCGAGGCAGGGGAAGCGGGCCGAGGAAGGCGACGAUGAUCUCGAAAACCACGCGUCGCAACCAAUCAAGCGCCGACAAUAGUCAGCGCGAGUUCGCCCUCGCUGCCUAAGCGAGCGUGAACUCUGUCAGACCGGGGAUGCCUUCGCUCCGGACCCUGGCACCGUUUAGAAGGCUCACCGCCGGACCCGGCCGCGGGGUCCGGCGAGACAUCAAACAGCGGCUGGGCCUGUCACACCGGCUUGUUCGCGUGACCGGUGGGGCCGAGUAGAGACACCGCGGACUGCGCCCGGAGAAGCCCUGUCUUACCGCCGGAGGACGCGGGUUCGAUUCCCGCCACCUCCACGA